rnacentral:rRNA from 1 species
UCGGAUUGCAGCCUGCAACUCGGCUGCAUGAAGCUGGAAUCGCUAGUAAUCGCGGAUCAGAAUGCCGCGGUGAAUACGUUCCCGGGUCUUGUACACACCGCCCGUCACACCAUGGGAGCCGGGAAUGCCCGAAGUCAGUGGCCCAACCGCAGGGAGGGAGCUGCCGAAGGCAGGCCCGGUGACUGGGGUGAAGUCGUAACAAGGUAGC